rnacentral:rRNA from 1 species
AUGGCCUUGGUUAAUAAGCUUGGUAAUCUGCUCAAGAAGGCCACUAGCUCGAAUCCGACUCUCUAUCAGGCAAUAAGAUGCAUGUCAUCAUCGAAGCUCUUCGUUGGAGGGCUUUCCUUUAACACAGACGAGGGCAGUCUGAGAGAUGCCUUUUCCCAUUAUGGAGAAAUUAUUGAUGCUAAGAUUAUCGUAGAUCGCGACACUGGAAGGUCUAGAGGUUUUGGCUUUAUAACUUAUGCAGCAGAAGAACAGGCUUCAUCUGCCAUCAUGGCCUUGGACGGAAAGGAUCUACAUGGACGCAACCUACGGGUUAGUGCUGCCACUGAGAGGACCGCUGGCUUCCGUAAUGGUGCUGGUUAUGGAGGUGGUGGUGGCGGCUUUGGAGGAGGAGGAUAUGGCGGUGGUGGCUAUGGAGGAGGUGGUUAUGGUGGCAACAGUGGUGGUGGCGGCGGCUUUGCUCCUGCUGGCGGCGACAACUUUGCUGCCGGCAACUUUGGUGGUGACCGUGGUUUCGGUGGAAACCCAGCUGGAAACCAUGGUGCUCCUGCAGGUUCCACCAGUGGUGAUGAGUUCUCCCUUGGCACCCCUGGUUCCAGCUUUGAAAGCGCCAAGAAUGACGAUGUCAUGGACGACCUCUUCAAGGAUGAUGAACCUGACAAGUACGCCAGCAAGAAUUUCUAG